AUUGAACGCUGGCGGCAUGCUUUACACAUGCAAGUCGAACGGUAACAGGCCGCAAGGUGCUGACGAGUGGCGAACGGGUGAGUAAUGCAUCGGAACGUGCCCAGUCGUGGGGGAUAACGCAGCGAAAGCUGCGCUAAUACCGCAUACGAUCUAUGGAUGAAAGCGGGGGACCGUAAGGCCUCGCGCGAUAGGAGCGGCCGAUGUCAGAUUAGGUAGUUGGUGGGGUAAAGGCUCACCAAGCCGACGAUCUGUAGCGGGUCUGAGAGGACGACCAGCGACACUGGAACGGAGACACGCCCCAGACUCCUAGGGGAGGCAGCAGUGGGGAAUUUUGGACAAUGGGCGCAAGCCUGAUCCAGCAAUGCCGCGUGCAGGAAGAAGGCCUUCGGGUUGUAAACUGCUUUUGUACGGAACGAAAAGGCUCUGGUUAAUACCUGGGGCUCAUGACGGUACCGUAAGAAUAAGCACCGGCUAACUACGUGCCAGCAGCCGCCGUAAUAC
rnacentral:rRNA from 1 species